rnacentral:lncRNA from 1 species
AAGGUGACCACCGAACCUCUUAAUUACCCAUCGUCUCAGAUGAUUUUCUAGAAAUCACUCUUUGUCCGAUGACCUCACCACGCUCUCAAAUAGAGCUCUGUGAUAAGACCCUAGACUGGUAACAACCCGGACACGGUCGGCAAACAACGCAGUGCUGAUUAGAAAUAGACUUAGAGUUAGUACCAGAUCUGGGCUCUAGCAAGGCGACAGGGAGGGGAGAAUACUUAGUGAGAACUCACACCUCAGUCACUACAGUACUAUCUGAACCUGGGGGAGGUCGGGUGAGGACAUCCCUAAGGUGGAUCCGGAUUCCUCUUCUCUACAGCAACAGGUCUUCUGUUGAAUGAUCAGACAACCACCUCUGAGGUCAACUGAAGUGUGCAAGUCUCUCUUGUACUAAGGAGUUGUGAAUGAGACUGCCAUUGCUCCGGUCCAGAACAAACCUCACUGGACACCUCAGGCAGAGGGAGACUUCCCCAUGAAUGGAGCCCCUGCACUCCAGGAGUCUUUGCUAAAACAGAGAGAGCGACCAGAAGACUACAGCCGGAACCAGCCCUUUGGCUUUCAAACUCAAUUCAACUUCAAAUAUCUUUACAAAUAACAGACUGCAAUCAUCUGAGAAAGAGAGUGAGGAAUAAGCAUCAGAGACACUAUUGAAGCCAGACUCUGGUCUGGCGGUAAGACACCCAUACACAGUGAGCCUGCCCCUGCUGUCCUCCGAUGGAGACCCCGGGUAGAGCAAGACGCUGCUGCAACGUUACAGGGGGACCCCCAGUAAAGGAGUCAUCCAGAGGGGAACACAGCGUUGCAGUGUGCGACAUGAAUGCAGUGAAAACUACUGAGCUGUCUGUCCACAGUAAGGAGAACAGGCAAAGUCCUGGACACCUAAAGACUAAAGAGGACGAGGAGGACCCCUGGGACAGGAAGGACCCCAGUAACCACACAACCAGGAAGCAUCCCUCAACCACUGGGGGAAAGAAUGUUCUGCAGUUAAGACUUCAGCAGAGGAGGACUCGAGAGCAGCUUGCAGACCAAGGCAUCAUGCCUCGUGAGUAACACUCUUUUACACACGAAGUCAUGCGCAUGUGUACACACACACACACACACGCACACCACGCAUAAGUGUGUGUGACACCAUGUAUUGCAUUACUAUAGAGAGUGAGAGAGAAAGAGCGAGAGAAAAAG